rnacentral:tRNA from 1 species
AGCUAUUUGUCUGAUUGAUUACAAGUUAGUAUCUUGAAAAUAUUAUAAAAAGGUUGAAUUCCUUUAAUAGCUU